GCCAGAGGAUGCAAGCGUUAUCCGGAAUGAUUGGGCGUAAAGCGUCUGUAGGUGGCUUUUUAAGUCUGCCGUCAAAUCCCAGGGCUUAACCCUGGACAGGCGGUGGAAACUACCAAGCUGGAGUACGGUAGGGGCAGGGAGAAUUUCCGGUGGAGCGGUGAAAUGCGUAGAGAUCGGAAAGAACACCAACGGCGAAAGCACUCUGCUGGGCCGAAACUGACACUGAGAGACGAAAGCUAGGGGAGCGAAUGGG
rnacentral:rRNA from 1 species